rnacentral:rRNA from 1 species
GACGAACGCUGGCGGCGUGCUUAACACAUGCAAGUCGAACGGAAAGGCCCUGCUUUUGUGGGGUGCUCGAGUGGCGAACGGGUGAGUAACACGUGAGUAACCUGCCCUUGACUUUGGGAUAACUUCAGGAAACUGGGGCUAAUACCGGAUAGGAGCUCCGGCUGCAUGGUGGGGGUUGGAAAGUUUCGGCGGUUGGGGAUGGACUCGCGGCUUAUCAGCUUGUUGGUGGGGUAGUGGCUUACCAAGCCUUUGACGGGUAGCCGGCCUGAGAGGGUGACCGGCCACAUUGGGACUGAGAUACGGCCCAGACUCCUACGGGAGGCAGCAGUGGGGAAUAUUGCACAAUGGGCGGAAGCCUGAUGCAGCAACGCCGCGUGCGGGAUGACGGCCUUCGGGUUGUAAACCGCUUUCGCCUGUGACGAAGCGUGAGUGACGGUAAUGGGUAAAGAAGCACCGGCUAACUACGUG